rnacentral:tRNA from 1 species
CAAAUUAUUCAUAUAGAUAUAUUUCAUUUACAUUGAAAUUAAUAAUUGUGAAAUUCAAUUUUAAUUUGA